UUAAGAUGAACAGGUUAAUAGAGGCAGCAUUAGGCAUUGGGGUAAGCCGAGGGGAAAGUGGAGGUUGAUCAGGAGGAGGGUGAAGAGGAGGAGGAGGAGGAGGAGGAGGGAAGUUCAGGUGCGCCCACACUUGCUCGAAACAUGAGUUCGUAACGUGUUUCAGACUGCUUCGAACCUGGUCACACGCAUAAUCCGAGUACCAGUGUAUCCGCAUCGCAUAUUCCAGGGUCCAUAUGCAAACAUUUGAGAGCUUACACACCCACAUUCAAUAAGGCUUUCGUAGAGGUUAUGGGCUUUUCCGGGGCUACUUUUAUGACCCUGGUGGUAGUUUGACCCUUCUUCUGUACCAUGAACCUCAAAAAAAUGCUCAUGAGACCCGAUUGAUCUCUUUUCUGGCCUUUGGAUAUAGUUGAUGUGAGAGCAGGAAGAGUCUGAGAGUAACGACAUUUGCCUCGAAUAUGUCACACACUUUUUCCGAGUUACCAUUGUGUCAGGAUCGCAUAUUCCUGAGCGGUGGUAGUGUUCAGUUCAGUACUCGGUCCGCUUUAGGUUAAGAUAAGUUAGAUUCAGCCCGAUUAAGUGAGGAUACGUUGCGAUAGAGACGUACUCUUUGCCGCGGGAUACAGUGAGAUGUGAGAAUAUAAUGAAGAAUGUUUGUGUGAAGAUAAAAUCGGGUCAGAGCAUAUGAGGUGUGUCUGAUAGUGCACACUCUUUGCCGGGAAAUGCACCGAGAUUAAUCAGAAGAGAAUCACGUGGUUAGUUUGUGAGCCACGACCUGUGCGUCACCUACGUCUCAGCGGCUCGGGGAGGUGCCCAUCACGCAGACAAUUCAGGAUUAUGCCUCCGGAUCAUGUUGGAAGUUAUAACCUCUACCGGAGUCAUGUUGGUAGCACUGGUGUGGACAAGGCUACGCGCUACGGACAUAAAACCAAGCCCAGUCCGUAUUCCCAGACAUUUUCGGCUCUCACAACUAUUUCAAGGCCACAAGGGACCAAGGACCAAGGGACACAAGCGGUUUUCACGUCCAUGGUGUACAAGUCUUGUCAGGCAAUCACUAGGCUCGUAAAACAACCCAUGGAAAUAUCCACAACCUCUAACAUAGCCUUAUCAAAUGUGUGUGGGGGCCCCGAAAUGUUUUAAAAUAUGAACUCAGAUAAAGCGACGACAGAGAUACGGCAGUGAAUGGAGUGAAGCAGCAGACAUUCAUGCGGGUUGACCUCUUAUCACUCAUCUCUUGUUAUGGGAUCCUGCAGAUGCCAACUAUAAGUACGAAGUGAAAGGAUAGACUCGUGGAAAACAUUGAAGGGUCGGAAUCGGUUUCGGAGCAUGCUGUCUAUAUAUAAUGGGAGCAUAUGCUAUACCUGGGCGUGGCUUCGGAGCUCAUCAGCGGCUGCGUUACCAGAUUGUCGUACUUAGCCUCUAAUGUUUUCCGAUUUCCGACCCCCAAAACUGUCUUUUCCACUCCAAUAACUACAUUUAUUUAUAGUUACCGUUGAAAGGUUUGAUUAUUAGUGUCUUUUUCCUAUAGUUAAGUGUCUAAAAACGGUAAAUACAAUGGUGGAUACGAUAAUUUUAGCGUGUGACAGAUUUCCUUCAUGUACCGAGCAGUGUUUCGAGCAAGGUUCAAAGCCAAGUGUGAUCGAACCUAUAGGGAGGGAUAGAUUAGGGUGGGGAAGGCUAGAAUAGACAGGGGGACGAUAGGGAAGACUGGGGUAAGUUUUGGUUAGCUGUGAAUAGGCUAGGAUGGGUUUGAAUAGGCUAGGGAAGGUUUGAAUAAGCUAGGGUAGGUUUGGAUAGGCUAGGGAAGGUUUGAAUAGGCUAGGGUAGGUUUGGAUAGGCUAGGGUAGGUUUGGAUAGGUUAGGGAAAGUUUGAAUAGGCUAGGGAAGGUUUGAAUAUGCUAGGGAAGGUUUGAAUAGGCUAGGGUAAGUUUGGGUAGGUCAGGACAGGCUUGGGUAGGCUGGGGUAAGCUUGGGAUAGGUUUGAAGUAGAUUUGGACUGCCUUGUUUUAUUGGGAUGUGUUGAUUGUCAUAUCUUAGUGUAUUAGAAUUAUCAUCAUCAUCAUCACUACUACUACUACUACUACUACUACUACUACUACUACUACUACAACCGGCUCACAAGGAAGAUAUCUGCGGGUCGGUCCCCUGGCUGAGUACACUAGCCGAUAACGGAGUGACCUAGUUCCUGUCUCGUCUACUUGUAGCCACGGACACAACAGGUUUCAGAGGUCGUGCCAUAUCGUUUUACGGGAAUAACUUGACAAAACGUUGGAUAAGAUGAUAAAUUAGGAGAUGUUUCAGACCUUACCCUGCUUUCGUUUAUGAUUUAUUAAGAAGAUGUGGAUGACUGUGAGACUUUUAAGAGCGCUAUAAAAACUACCCCGCGCGCUCCACUGAGACUCAACGCUUGGAAGUCCUUUGAAACUCCUUCGGGCUGGAUUGGAAGUAACUGACCUGACCCUCAAUAGACCGGAAUAUGUCAUAACUCAAGAGGGAUGGGGAGGUCGAGGGGGUGGAAUCCUCUCGUAAAAGAUGAGGUCGAGGGAAGAGAAAAUCCGAAGUGGGAAGAGAGAGGGAGGGAUGGAGGGAGAGAAAAGAGAGAGGGAGAAGGGAGGGAUGGAGGGAAAAUGGGGUAGGAUGGAGAGAGUGGGUAAGGUGGUAAUAUUUUUCUUCCAUGUGUGUUUUGUGUUUUAUUUUGCCUCUUGCGGAAGUCAGGUUCGGCUAGGUUUUCUCGCAGGAAUCUAACCUAAUAUCCCCAGUCAGCCACUUGUACUUCCGAACUUUGAGCCUCCGCGUUGCACUUUCCACUUAUCUUACCAGGCUAGACUCGGGCAAUCCUCUCGUAAAAGAUGAGGAGGUCGAGGAAAGCGAAGAUCCGUAAUGGGAAGUCAGGUUCGGCUAGGUUUUCUCGCAGGAAUCUAACCUAAUAUCCCCAGUCAGCCAGCCUGCCAAUUGUACUUCCAAAUCUUGAGCCUCCGCGUUGCACUUUCCAUUUCUCUAAUCAAGCUAGACUCGGGCAAUAUAAUCCUGGGAAUCGGAUGGAUAUUGUAGCCUUUCUCCCUAUCUCUCUGGAAGCAGAACAACGCUAUGUGGAGCCCUAAGACUUUCACUCGAGGACCACUUUGUUAAUUAAUAUAUACAAGAAGUCUUUCUCUGAUACAUUCCUCAUUUAUUAUUCAUAUUUCACUUCUUUUAUCUGUUCACCUCAAUAAGAUUCUGUUUUCCUAUUCACUUUCAUGUGUUAUCCUCGUUAAAAAAAACACAAACCUCCUCCUCCUCCUCCUCCUCCUACUACUACUACUACUACUACUACUACUACUACUACUACUACUACUACUACUACUACUACUACUAUCCCGCACUAACCUUACUUCUAGCAAACAAAUUAUCAA